CACGUAGGGUGCGAGCGUUGUCCGGAAUUAUUGGGCGUAAAGAGCUCGUAGGCGGUGUGUCGCGUCGGCCGUGAAAACCUGCAGCUUAACUGUGGGCUUGCGGUCGAUACGGGCAUCACUGGAGUUCGGCAGGGGAGACUGGAAUUCCUGGUGUAGCGGUGAAAUGCGCAGAUAUCAGGAAGAACACCCGUGGCGAAGGCGGCUCUCUGGAACGCAACUGACGCUGAGACGCGAAAGCGUGGGGAGCAAACAGG
rnacentral:rRNA from 1 species